rfam:Ciona savignyi cont_34425, whole genome shotgun sequence.
GUCUCUGUGGCGCAAUUGGUUAGCGCGUUCGGCUGUUAACCGAAAGGUUGCUGGGUCCAAGCCCAGCCAGGGACG